AGGCAUUCAUCCAAACCAAGCCAUUUCAGGUUCAGGCCAGUUGGAGUAGCUGAAUACAGACACAGAGAUGCUACUUAAGGACAAGAUGAAGUAAUGAGCUUUUUCAGUGAGGACUUUCUGCUCAGCAGCUGGGAGAGGAGAUGUGCAAGCUGCAGAGCUACGUGGUCUCAGCUGAGCCCAAGGGAGGAAGUCACACCAAAGCCAAGUGACCAAGAAGUAUUUGGAAAACCUGCUUUGCCAGGAGCUGUAUGAUUUUCCUGCCAGAUGCAUUUCUGAGUGGAUUAUUGCUCUGUACAGUCAGUGGACUCGUACCAAGGCUGCUGGCACAAGGUUUAAACCUCUCUGCAAAUGUAUGGGGACCAAGUGGUGUGAAAACACUGCUGAUUACCUCGAUGCAUACCAGG